CCGAGUUUACAACUCCCAAACCCCUGUGAACAUACCUAUCGUUGCUUCGGCGGAUCCGCCCCGGCGCCCUCGGGCCCGGAUCAGGCGCCCGCCGGAGACCCCAAACUCUUGUAUUUCUUUAGUAUCUUCUGAGUAACAAGCAAAUAAAUUA
rnacentral:misc_RNA from 1 species